ACUUUUUCCAGGGGCGAGGGUCGCGGAGGGGACAGCGUCAGGGCCGCUGGGGUGGGGACGGCGGGCGAGGCGCAAACUUUACUAGGAGUUUUUGGCACUUGGAGGCAGAUCCUGUUGGGCGGCACAGCACGCCCGCUGGGAAACGCAGGGGAGCGGCCUGCUUCGCUGAAAACCCGACCAGGACCUAACGGGCCGCGGGACAGAAACCUCCGAGACCAUGGUACACAGCAACUACCACAACUCGCUCCUCAGCCCCUGACUCUUCGUCCCCGCCCCCACAGCGCAGUAUAAGUAGGGCCCGAAACAGAACUGGCAACGGCAGUAGCCAAUCUACUUGCCAACAUCACUUUGACAGCCCAAUCACGAUGAAGAGGAGGCGGGGAGACCGCAAUGUCUACUUCGAUCUGAAGUCUAGAGGAGACAAGUAUGGCAAAUUGGUCGGCGUGGUCCCUGGUCCAGUCGGAGAGCCAGUGGACUCUGACAAGCGUCAUGCCAAUGACUUCGCCCUGUGGAAGGCGGCCAAACCCCAGGAGGUGUUCUGGGCCUCUCCCUGGGGACCCGGGAGGCCGGGCUGGC
rnacentral:sRNA from 1 species